CCUCAGCCCAGCUGCCUUUGUGAUCUCCCCAGACCCCCUCACCGCAGGGCUGAGAGAAAUGAAUCCUCUGACCAUUCCCCCUGUUUCCAGCAGGCUCUCGGUGCUCCAGCUCUUCAGGAAUCUCUUUGGGCUCAGGCAGAGCACGCAGGAGGGCCCAGAAACCAGAGCAGACGCCCAAGAGCAGGGGAACGUCGGCGACCUAGAAGAAAACAGCUCCCUGGUGCCUGCUGGGGCUGAGUCUGAGACCGGCGAGCCAGCAGGCAAAGAGCUAACGGGCGACCACCCGACUGACGAGCCCCGUGGAGAUGCAACAGGCGACCGCAUGGGGGAGAUCCUUGGAGAGCUGAAGGAUAUCAGCCUUGGGGGCACCCCUUCCAGCCAUGGCAGGAGAUCCCCUCCUAUGCUGGACCCCAGUGGCAUGGAGAUGGGAGACUCCGGUGACUGGGCCUUGUCAGACCUCUCUGAGUGCUGUAGCUGCAUUGACACCAGCGUGGAUGAGGAGGAGAUGCAGAGCAUGGGAAGUGGAGCAACAGGAGAGCCGUGCGGGCAAUGCUCUGAGACAGGAGAUGCAGGAGGAGCAUCUGCUGAGAAAUGGCCCUUGGGGAGCAGGCUCUCAGUGCUCCAGCUUAUUAGGAACCUCUUUGGGCUCAGGCAGAGCGUGCAGGAGUGCCCAGAAACCAGAGCAGAUGCACAAGAGAGCGGGGACAUCAGGGACCUAGAAGAAAACAGCUCCCUGGUGCCUGCUGGGGCUGAAUCUGAGACCAGCGAGCCAGAGGUCAAAGAGCUAACGGGCGACCACACGACCGAUGAGCCCCGUGGAGAUGCAACAGGCGACCACAUGGAGGAGAUCCUUGGAGAACUCAAGAAUAUCAGUCUUGGGGGUGCCCCUUCCAGCCAUGGCAGGAGAUCCCCUCCUAUGCUGUACCCCAGUGGCAUGGAGAUCGGAGACUCCGGUGGCUUUGUCAACACUGCUGUGGGCAAAGAUAAAACAGCCCAGAAUCCGUGCAGCGGAAUCUCUGGCAGGGAGGCAGAGAGGGUGGGAGAAGCUUCUGGUGACACAGGAACAUGGGGAAAGGCUGGGAUCUCCCAGGUUCUGCAUGCUGACAACGAAGGAAUCACACCGACUGCAGGACCCCUGGCAAUGACCCCCAAGGACUUCCAUGCCAAGGAGGAGCGAGAGCACCUCCUGAAAGAGGAUCUAAAUGGAGGAUCUCCGAAGGCAGAGCUGUCUCCAUGGAACAAACUCGUCAACAUGUACAAGCAGCGACAGAAGCUUCCUGUUCCUAAGGAAAACCCAGUGCAGCUAGAAAUGGAAGAGGGAUCCACUCUGAAUCUAACUGUUUAUGAAUUUGCAACACCCGAGCCUCAUCUCAUCUCUUCACAAUCCUCCAGUACUGCCCUGAUCUACAGGUUUCCUGAUGACGGCGCUGGGGAAGCUGUUGGGCACUUUGGGAGAGCCCAGGUAGACCUGAGGACAAAUGGACUGGGAGCUCCUGAAGAAGACUGAGGCGUGUUCCUGGAGUUAGCGCAGUGUUUAUAAAACACGUAGAGAUCCUGGGAGAAAGUUCAGCAUGCUAUAAAAUGAUUGGUGAAAGAAAGCAGCAGUCCCCAGGAGGAGGAAGUGCGAGCCUGCUCCUAGAAGAGAUGGGACAGUGGCCCCAAGACCAAGCUUAUGUUUUGAUCACGGUGAGUCUGCAAGCCCCCUUCAUCUAGCAGAUGAAAAUGAAGAAAGAAGACUGAGACCUGUUCUUUGGUCCUCACCAGGCUGGAGUCUGGGACAAGGCCUGUUAGCUGCAAGCUUGUUCCUGUUUCCUCUUUCAGUGUCUACGCCUUCCCCCUUUGAAUGUUUAUCCCCUUGCAUUCUCCCCUCCCUGCCACAUGAGGGAUGACUCCAUCUGCACUAGGCUGGCAUCCACUGUAUUUUUAGAGUAAGUGUUUUACGUUGAUUGAUUGUUCUCAGUUCCCCCUAAGCUCACAGACUCCUCCCUGCUUAUUAAAUGGAGUUCUGUGUUGAAUUAA